rnacentral:misc_RNA from 1 species
UCUUCCACCGCCUACAUUCAAGUCGGACUGAACAUUGACUGUCGUCGGACAGGCCUCGUCGGCGGAGCGAAAGUUUCGCGUGCACGCGUCUCGUCGUUGCGAGUAAAAUGACGUUUAUCGGUCCACGCGGCUAUUCCGUUGAUCGUCCGUGGCCCAGGCACGUCCACGUUUGACGUGUUAUGUGAACCUCCUGCACCUGGAAAUCGGUUGUUCGUGCUAGCAUGAGUAUUUCUCAGGAAAGCGCAGCCACGAUCGUGUGCAAGGAGAUCUUCGACGGAGUCUCGCACCCGUCAGACGAAGAGGUACUCGAAUAUGCGAGGCGGUUGGGAAUCGACCCGGAUACAGAACCACACCUCCUGAGUUUGGCUCGGGAGGGCCUGAUGGCGGCCCUCCCCAAGGGCUGGCUACCAUGCUUCCACGAAACGAGCGGUGCUUGGUACUAUUACCAAGCUUCCACCGGAACCACCACCUGGCAACAUCCCCUGGACGCCGUGUACAAGGAGAUGGUCGAGCAGGCCAGAGCUGCGAGCAAUGCCAAGCCUGUUAACGCCAGGCAGAUCAGCGUCGAAGAGGACUCGAAGACAACGGCCAAGGAGCUCGAGUCCAACGAGGAAGCAACUCUGCCCAAGGAAACAUCUUCGUCCAAAGAAUCCGCCAAGCAAUCCGCCAAGAACAAUCUGCCACCUACCAGAAUCCCUACGAAGCUGGCGCCGUUGAAAAAAUUGGACAAGAUCGACGGUACGAGGAAGAAGGAUGGCGGCGGGAGCCAAGAGAAGCAACAAUCGAAACGGGAGGACAAUCCGUUGGCGACUAACAGGGCCGGCAGGGAUUACACGAACCUCAAGUUCCAAGAUCCGAGAUUCUACGAGUGUCCCAAGCUUCUGGAGACGGCCCCGUCGACCACCAACACGACCACCACCAGCCCAAAGCAGCAGGAGAUAGACCUGAAAGAGGUGCUCAAGAGAUCGGAGUCUCUCAGCCCGAGGCACGAGAAGGAUUGGGAGCAGUUGUCAAGCAGGUUUAGCUCCGAGGAGAACAUCAUAGACAUCGAUAAACUUAGCAUCAACACGUUGGCCAGGUCGGAGAAAUCCGACAAGUUCGACAAGGAGAAGCAUCCGAGCCAAUUCGGCCAACAGAAGGAGUUGACUCUGAGCGGUGGAGGGACCAUGUUUCUAAAGAGCAACAGGAGCAGGGACACCACGCCUAUCCACGAAACCGGUAAACUCGACGAGUUCCGUAUCUCGUCGAUCCCGGACGAGACCAACAAAGACAGCGGGGACAAGUUGAAGUCGAUUCUCAGGGAGAAACAAUCCGAGGACGACGACAGACCGGUGGACGAGGAGAGGAAAAGCGUACGUUUCGACAUAGAGAAGGAAGUGGAUAUCAAGUACACUUACUCCAGGUCUGAAUACGAGUCGGAAUCCGAAUCUGACGAGCAAGAGGUGCUCGCUAUGCUCUCGAAUCGAGACACCGAGUGGAGCCCCUCGGCGCAGAAAAUCGGCCAAAGAUUCACGGGCGAGGAAAGCAAGGAUGAUCCCGAGGACAAGAUCGACGGAUGUAUCAAGAAGAGCUUAUCGUCGGAAAGGAUCGAAGCGUCGAAGACGCAAAACGGGAAGAUCGUGGGCAAAAGGUUCGUCGUAAGAAACGUGCCUGAGAACGAACUUCGUAAAAAGUUCGCCCCUCAGAACGCUUCCGAGAAGGAACACCGUAUGCAAAUGAGGGACAGUUUGUCCGGAGAGAGUUUGUCGAGGGAAAGCAGUUUGGACUACACGUUCACCAACAAAUUCAACAAGAUUAAGAACAUCGAUCUGGUUUCGAAGAGCGAGACCGAUUACAGCGACUCGGAACUAAGGCGGAAGAACAAAUUGAGAGUGGAGUUCCCGCGCAACGAGCAGACCGACGACGACGAGACUUCGGAUUUUUCUAAGAUCAAUCAAGAGACACGCGAUAUCUCGCGAAAGGAAGCCAAUGAGGCAACGAAGCAACAAGAUCAGAGCAAGAAGCUGGAGGAGACGAAAGCGAAAUUGAGUCAGGAGCACGAGAAGGACAUCGAGGCGUUGAGGAAAGAGUACAAGGACAAGCUGGAACAAAUGAAAAAAGAAUUGGAGGAGAAUUUUGCGGAGCAGAAGAAGCAAUUAGAGAAGAAUCUGAGCGACAAGUUGGAGGAUAUGAGGCGAAAGAUGGUCGAGAAGGAGGAACGAGAAAUUCAAAAAUUAAUCGCCGAAAUGGACGAGGCCAAGUUGGAGAAUCUGAGAAAGGUAAAGGCCGAAUUGGAGGUUUGCUACGAAAAGGAGAGGCAAGAGAUCUUGGCGAAUUUGAAGACCGAACUCGACGAAAGAAAGGGAGAAUUGUUGGAGCUGAGGAAUCAGGAGAUGGGGAAAUUGGAGAACGAACACGAACGCGACUUGGACGAGGAGAAGCUCGCCAAACUCAGCGAGAUCAAGUUGAGCAAGCAACACCAAGCGAGGAUCAAAACAAUGAAGAAGGAAUUGGAUAAAGAGUUCGACGAGUUGCGCAAACAAUUACGGGCACAGCAAAGGGAAAAUAUCACGAAAAUUACGGAGGAACACGAGAGUCGUCUUGUCGAAAUCCUACGCGAUUUUAGAGUCAAUGAGGAUCGCACGCGCAAGAUGUACAAGCAGUGUUUGGAAGAGAUUCGCGCCGAUUUCUCGCGCGACGCUGAGAAAGAGGCUAAGAAACAGACGGGUCGCGCUAUUCACCAAGAAAGCAUCGAGUUCGAGAAGAUGAGGUGCGAGAAGCGAUUGCUCCAAGAUAAGUACAUGGCGUUGAAGGAAAAAUACAUGAAAUUGAAGAAGGAGGUUCGUUCGGCUAUCGAGAGGAGGAGUAGGAGGAAGGAGGGAUACACGACCGCCUCGGAGACGGAGAGAUCGACGUCGACGAGGACGAGAACCGACAGGACCGAGUCGUCGGAUCAAAAUAUCCCAUUACGAAACACGCACUCGAGCUCGGCGACGACGAACACUAAACCGCCCGAGAUUCGGACGACGACGAACGAGCAGUCGGAAGAAUUGCACGAUCCGAACGAACAGAACUCGGUUCAGAAGGCGAACUCGGGGUUUCAGAAGAGCGCAGCUACGUCGAACGCGAAAAAUGUGAGAUUCCAUUCCGACGAAACGAGCAUCGCCAGCGAGACGAACGCGAACGUAACAACCGGCAAGAAGAACUUCGCCAAGAAACCGACGAUCCAAGCCAAACCGAGUUCAACCACUGGCAAUAAUAUUAACAACAAUAACAACAAUCUCGAAAAUCCAGUCGAAAAUAUAAGAAAACAGUUGGAGAAGCUCGAGGAUCUCGGUGAUCAAUUGCCAAGCAACGAAACGGCCUACACAUUGCGAUAUCCUUUCCAAGACAAAGCACCGGCGAACGCCUCUUCGGAGCUGGAGUUCUUCCGGCACCGAAUUCACGUCGAAAGGGAUUCAGUGAAGAGAGCACGGGAGGCGCUUCGACAUCAGGAGAACGUGUUCCAAGGGAGGCAGAGGGCUUGGAAGCAGCGUAGCGUCAAAGCGACCCUCGAACAAUUGCUUCAGGAAGAACGCGAACUUUCGGACAUGGAGGUGAAUUUGCAUCGAACCAAGAGCCUUUUGGGCGAGAAAGUGAUCCAUCUGAGGCAUUUGGAGCAAUCUUUGGAGAGAGUGGUUAACGCGAAAACGAACGAGAACGACGCGAACGCGACGAAAAACGAGGAAUUGACGUUGAGCGAUAUGUCGAGCGUGAGCAGCGGCGUCAGUUCAACCGAUCUCGGAACUGACACGUUCAUAGGAGUCGACGGAAAUCAUCGCAAGUCUGGAAAACCUAAACUCGGAAAUACGUGAGAUAUGGGGCGUGCUGAAUAAACGUCAGGACACCAACAUACCACCGCCCUCAACUUUGAUGUAUUCGUAUUUGCGAUGGCUGCGUUUCCAUCAUCUUGCCGCCGAAUCGAAUAAUAUACAAGGAACGUUCGGUCCAACUCCAAACAUUCAGUCGAACAUCCUAUCCCAGUUAACGGUGACCCAACCACCGACACCCACCACGCAAAACAUUAUCGCCCAAUAUGGUCCCAAUAGCGGUUUCACAACCAGCGUUUGUACCGUUGAGAAACAUUCCUCGAAUCUGAUGGAGAGAACGUGGAAUCUACGGGAUUGGCUGA